CGGUGGGAGGGGGCGGUGUCCGGGGAGACGCGUCAGCCGCCGCCGCCGCCGUCGUCGACGCGGGAUCCCUCCCCUCGGGCGGCCCGAGCCCCGCGGGGAGCGGCGCGGCGCGGCGCGGCGGGGAUGAGGCGGUCCGCCUCGCACCCACCGUAGCGGCGCGGCCGCCUCCGCCAUGAAGCGGAAGAGCUGGGCCGAGGCCCGGCGCCGGGCAGCCCCGGCGCCGCCGGCUCUGAAGAGAACUCGGGGCGCGGCGUCGCGGGCGGCGGGGGGCGAGGCGGAGCGGCGGCAGCCGCCCCCCGCCGCGCCGGAGACCUGCCUGAGGAUCGCCGAUCGCCUUUAUUUUGCAAUUCUCUGCCAAAAACCAAAGAGUGGAGCUGCAAAUACCCAUUAUUUCUGCAUAGAUGAUGAACUUGUAUAUGAGAACUUCUAUGCAGACUUUGGACCACUCAAUCUGGCAAUGGUCUACAGAUACUGCUGCAAGCUAAAUAAGAAAUUAAAGUCAUUUUCAUUGAUAAGGAAGAAAAUAAUUCAUUAUACUGGCUUUGAUCAGAAAAAACAAGCAAAUGCUGCAUUCCUCAUAGGCUCCUACGCAAUAAUAUACCUGAGAGAAUCCCCAGAAGACGUGUACAGGCUUAUAUUGGCUGGAAGCGUUUCAUAUCUUCCUUUCAGGGAUGCUUCCUUUGGUACUUGCAGUUUUCAUCUGACAUUGCUGGACUGUUUUCAUGCAAUAAACAAGGCUUUGCAAUAUGGUUUCCUGGAUUUCAAUAAGUUUGAUGUAAAUGAAUAUGAGCAUUAUGAAAGAGCAGAAAAUGGAGAUUUUAACUGGAUAAUACCAAACAAAUUCAUUGCCUUCAGUGGACCUCAUUCAAGAAGUAAAAUUGAAAAUGGCUAUCCCCACCAUGCUCCAGAGGCUUAUUUCCCAUACUUCAGGAAGCAUAAGGUCACCACUAUAAUACGCCUCAACAAAAAACUGUAUGAUGCCAAACGAUUUACAGAUGCUGGAUUUGAGCAUUUUGACCUCUUCUUUGCUGAUGGAAGCACACCUACUGAUACUAUAGUUAAAACAUUUCUAAAUAUUUGUGAAAACGCUGAAGGUGUUAUAGCUGUUCAUUGCAAAGCUGGUCUUGGACGAACUGGCACACUUAUUGCCUGUUAUAUUAUGAAGCAUUAUCGGAUGACAGCUGCUGAAACUAUUGCCUGGAUUAGAAUAAAUAGACCUGGUUCAGUGAUUGGACCGCAGCAACACUUCCUGAUGGACAAACAGGCAGAACUUUGGACAGAAGGGGAUAUUUUCCGUGCAAAAUUGAAAGGAAACCAUAAAAUUGCUGUAACAAGAAUUUUGUCAGGAGUAGUUGAUAUUUCAAUUAAUGACACAAGAAGCAGGAGAACCAUCCAAAAGGACACUGAACUGUACAGUGAUGAAGACGAAACAAACUGUGUAACACAAGGUGAUAAGCUUCGUGCUCUGAAAAGUAGAAGGCAGGCAAAAGCUCCAACUGCAUCUCCUCUAACAUGGCUCCUAGCUAUGCUGGUGUCUACACUGUGUAGCAUUGUCAUCUGGUGGAUUGUAUGUGGCUCCCUUCUGCCCAGCCUGCUAUUCUGUCUAGAUGGUUUAAGAACAUAGUAACCAUCAGGACCCCCUGAGAGAGAGCCACUGUAGUAAUUCUGCAGUCCAGUGUUCAGAAAAAUAAAACCUCUGAACCUAGCAUUUCUGACAGUACAGACAUUACUAAAAGAACUACCAGGUCUGCUGCAAGAAAAAACACUUAAAGAAGCAGCCAAUCCGUCCCAAGGACUAAAACAGUAUUGCGUUAAGUUUCAAAUAAGCAACCAGUGUUGAAGAGGAUAUUCAGGAAUGAGGGGAUGUGACUAGAGGGGACUUGAUGCAAUUCAAGGAAGAUUACUUUGGCUCCAUUUUUCAGCAAAAGUGAAACUGAAGAAUCUCUUCCGUACUUGUAGAAUAAAAUGAACCGUCAACAUGCUUGGCAGACACUUUCUUAAUGUGCUAACAUUUCCUCAAAGAAAACCAACAAAAUCUGUGUACAUUCAGACUCAGGUGUAAAUACUUAAGCUCUCUAUUAUAAAGAGGGCUUGCUAGUAUGUAUGAUGCAUGUGUAUAAAUUGUGAUGGCAAUCACUUAGCUGCUGACCACCAGAAAUUAAAAGAUGGUGGGAGCUUUUAAAUAUAUAAAUCUGUGUUGUCCGUUCAGACUGGGCUCAAGUCUCCAGUUGAGACUGAAAAUCAACCACAAAAGCUUUUUUGUUCUAGUACUGGUACUCUCCUGUGUUAAUUGGCUAUUCUUUCUUAUUUUGUAUGAAGUUUUUUAUGAAGCCACAGUACUGAGUACACAAAGUAACUAUUGUCCACCAAAGAGUGCUUUAUUUUCAAAGGUUGUGUAGUUUAUUUUGAAAAAACUAACUAUAAGUGAUAUAACUUGUUUUUAAUAGUAAUAGAUUUUUAGUUGUUCACAACCAAUGGCUCUUUUAACCAGUAAUUGCUUCAAAUCUGGUAUGAUUUUAAGGGGGAGCAAAAACAGCUUACCAUUUAAAGCAGUGCUGUCAUAUUGAAAUGUCAUUAGUGUUUAUUUUCCUAUCUUCAAGUCUUUUAGGUGAAACUUUAGAUUACUAUAUCUAAAAGGUAAGAAUUUUUCCCAGGUUUUAUUGGUACACUUGGUAACAUGUGGAUGUCACUGUUUUUUAGCUUUGAGACACUUAAUGAGUGCAGCACACAAAAAAGGGAAAAUAAGCUUGCUGUAUAGCUGAGAUUGGUAGUGGAACUCAGGGGCAGUUAUAGUUUUUAACAUCUAAUUAACACUUUUAAAACUACAGCUUACCUCUGUUAAAAAGCAGUGUUAAGUUUUAGAGGGAUCUGAGACUGAAAUUUUCAUCCACUACAAGAUUGUCUUCAAACACUGGCAGUGUUUUUUCCCUACCACUUUUCACAUUAUGAAAUCUCAAAGCUGGCUUUGCAGUGAUGUACCCUUGUCUGCCAACUGAAGUUUAUAGCUGCAUAUCCCUCAGAUGAGGACUGUUACCACAUAGCCUUAAAUAUGAUACAGUUAUCUGUUGAUUUAGUGACUCUUACAGUAGAAAGUAAAAGAAAUGGAGAGAUCUGAAGUGUUAGCAAUGGAAUAACUGACAUUUUUAAAGAUACAGAUUACCUCUGCAAGGGGGAGAUUUUUCUUUUUGUGAAUAUAAAUGGGCAGGUUCAGUGACUAGUUUCAGUCUAAAUCCUUCUCAAUUAAAAUUAAGCUUUCUGUUAGGCUGGUGAUUUUUGAAUGCCAUUACGAAUAGCCCCACAUUGGCUUGAAAACAUUUUGUGGCAAGAGCAUCACAAGUUGAAGGGGAAGCAGGAUGUGAAGUGUAAGUAAGCUUACAGGUAGCAUCUGUGAGUUUGGAUAGUCAAAAUUUGCAAAUACAGAAAGAAAACCAAAGAGGCUUGUAUGGUGCAAAAUAAAGGACCAUUGAGGCUCAGACCCCAAAUACUUUUUUGUUUUCCUCUUAAUCUUCACCCUCACUACCAUUUUCUUCUAGGUGAAAAGCACCUAAAAGUGAGGGACUGAAUUCAUCCUGAUACAGCAAUUAAAAUUUCUUGACUUUUUUUUGUUUGUUUGUUUCCUUUAACUAAGCCACUUGCCCAAAAGCUGAAGUACAAGUAACCACAAUAGUAGGUAUAUUGUGCAAAUAUGUAUUUGUUUUUAUUUUUGAAGAAAAUUCUUAUCCUGGAAGGCAGAAGGGAUGAAACUAGCGAGGUGAGAGGGCGAGAGUCAAGACAAGAGAGAUUUAGUAAUAGUUAUUGUGUUUGGCUUUGCCCUUCUCUCGGCUGAGCUUCCUCUUUUAGCAUCCUUGUUUUUAAUCUGAAAAUAAUCAGCCUAUUUCACAUCCUUUCCAAAUUCCAAAUGGGAAUUUGGCUUUUUUAAAGUAACCAGCAGAGCCAUUAGCACUUUCAGGUUCAUCAGAAAUAAAUUUGCAUAAAAAAGUGCACACACGCACACACAAUAGCAACUUUAGCUAAACCAAAAUCGCAUGUUUGGCAUGAAUGUGUUUCAGGAUACCCCUUCCACCACCUAGUAUCUUAGUGAGAAACACAUAAAUGUCAAAGGGAUUUUACAUUUGAACUCUCCAAACAGCCUUAUAUGGAAAAUUAACUCAUUACCUCAUUGUGUCCCAUCUAAUUUUAUUGCUUAGUUUGUUCUUCUGAAUUUUUAGUAUUUUGUCUAGCAUUUUUAUUAUACCAUACCAAAGCUGUCUUAAGUACAGGAAUGAAGAGUGGGCAUGGGUGAGGAAGUCCUUGGUUUCUAAAUCUUUUUUGAAUUGUGAAGUAUUAUGUGCCAAAAUGGAAUGUGUGGUGGCAGCUGUAUCACCAUUGUACCACAGAGCAGCCACAGGAAGUUAUUUCUGCUGUCAUCAAUUAGCAGUUUUUUCUUAGAAAUUCUUUCCUCUCUUUCAAAUACAUGACAGAUGGAUUCUCCCUUGGUCUCUUACUCAAAAGUAUGCAACAUACUCAAAAUCUGUAAUAUCUUGGCUUAAAUUGCUAGUUUCCAUUACAGCAUCAAUAACUUAACUCAGAUUUUAACCCAGACCUUGUCUUUUUGCCCCAGUAUGACAAUAUAGAAAAUGCUGCUGAUUUAAAACAAAACAAUAAGAUCUGUAGAGACUCAUGCAUUAAAAUG